ACGUAGGUGGCGAGCGUUAUCCGGAAUUAUUGGGCGUAAAGAGGGAGCAGGCGGCAGCAGAGGUCUGUGGUGAAAGACUGAAGCUUAACUUCAGUAAGCCAUAGAAACCGGGCAGCUAGAGUGCAGGAGAGGAUCGUGGAAUUCCAUGUGUAGCGGUGAAAUGCGUAGAUAUAUGGAGGAACACCAGUGGCGAAGGCGACGAUCUGGCCUGUAACUGACGCUCAUUCCCGAAAGCGUGGGGAGCAAAUAG
rnacentral:rRNA from 1 species